rnacentral:rRNA from 1 species
UACGUAGGUGGCAAGCGUUGUCCGGAAUUAUUGGGCGUAAAGAGCGCGUAGGCGGUCCGAUAAGUCGGCUGUGAAAGUCAAGGGCUCAACCCUUGAAAGCCGGCCGAUACUGUCGGACUAGAGUCCGGAAGAGGCAAGUGGAAUUCCCGGUGUAGCGGUGAAAUGCGCAGAUAUCGGGAGGAACACCAAUGGCGAAGGCAGCUUGCUGGGACGGUACUGACGCUGAGGCGCGAAAGCGUGGGGAGCGAACAGG